AACGCGAAGAACCUUACCUGGGUUAGACAACGUCGGACAGUCCUAGAGAUAGGAUUUCCCCUUCGGGGGCCGGCGGUGCAGGUGCUGCAUGGCUGUCGUCAGCUCGUAUCGUGAGAUGUCGGGUUAAGUCCCUUAACGAGCGCAACCCUUGUCCCUAGUUGCCAGCAUUCAGUUGGGCACUCUAGGGAGACUGCCGGUGUUAAACCGGAGGAAGGUGGGGAUGACGUCAAGUCCUCAUGGCCCUUAUGUCCAGGGCAACACACGUGCUACAAUGGCCGGUACAGAGGGUCGCCAACCCGCGAGGGGGAGCUAAUCUCAGAAAGCCGGUCUCAGUUCGGAUUGAAGUCUGCAACUCGACUUCAUGAAGCUGGAAUCGCUAGUAAUCGCGGAUCAGAACGCCGCGGUGAAUACGUUCCCGGGCCUUGUACACACCGUACGUC
rnacentral:rRNA from 1 species